rnacentral:rRNA from 1 species
UACGUAGGGUGCGAGCGUUAAUCGGAAUUACUGGGCGUAAAGCGUGCGCAGGCGGUUCGUUAAGUUCGAUGUGAAAGCCCCGGGCUCAACCUGGGAAUGGCAUUGGAAACUGGCGGACUCGAGUGUGGCAGAGGGGGGGUGGAAUUCCGCGUGUAGCAGUGAAAUGCGUAGAGAUGCGGAGGAACACCGAUGGCGAAGGCAGCCCCCUGGGUUAACACUGACGCUCAGGCACGAAAGCGUGGGGAGCAAACAGG